GGUGAUUAGACCUAAAUACGCUAAAAGUACACGUGACACGAACACACAUAAUAGGCGUGAUGACCCAGACGAUACACAAAUCAAUAUUGAUACACAGAGCGGUAAUCAUGGCUAUUAUAACAGACACAACAAUCGUGGUCGUGGGAAUACUAGAGGUGGAAAUAAUCAAAGACGUGGUGUUCACUACUAGGUUUCAUGCGGAUUUUGGAAUAUCAAUGGAUGGAAGGUGGAUGUAGAUAGUGAGAAAUAUAACUUUUUAGCUGAAUGUGUAAGGUACUAUAAUCUGCAUAUACUGGGUUUAGCAGAAACCCAUCUUACAGGGAAUACUGGUAUAAAUAUAGACGGAUAU
rnacentral:lncRNA from 1 species